AGCUGAAGGGAUGUGAUUGUUCUGAAGGCUCGCAGUAGAUUUAUCCAGUGUUACAGCAGGGUACUGUAAGCCCACUGUUACUGCCUGGGAGUCCCUGGUACAGCACGGAACAUCUCUUGUUAAGGCCUCCAGGCUCUCUCACUCUCACACACACCAACACAGCAAAAAUGUGCCAAUGUGUGCUCGAGAAUGCCACAGGCUGGUGUCCUUCCCUCAGUCUCUUAUUCCUAACUCUUUCCAACCAGCCCCAAGAUGUUCUUCAAGAGCGAGUCUCGUUUUUCUUCAGCAACAGCAGCUGGAAACAGUGCCGCCUGACACAUUGCCAGCUCUCACCGACUGGUUCCUCUGCUUCCCUCUGACAGGAGCAAAGGCUACGGCCCAAUGCUUACUCAGAAACAGAGACCCUGAGGUACCAGACAUAGUGAGAUGGAAAGGAUAUAGGGAUUCCAGACGUGUCUCAAGAUCAGGAGACACUACAGUAUGGACCUAAGUGGGGGCUGGACCUCCACUACAUGAACAAAUGUUAACCAAACAGCAUCAAGUCCUAUCUACUGCAAUACGGAGUGAUCGACAUGCUGGCUUGGGAAACAAGCAUUGCUUCAUCAUUAAGUAAUGUACAACGUCUGGGUUUUUAGCCUAUCACAUCUCAUCUGAUUCAGCAGCAGUGAGGUGGAGCUCUAAUCUGAGCUGUGGCACAAAUGUGCAACAUCAGCUAAUAAAGUUCAACAUCUGAACCAGCAUCUGUAUCAGAUUUGGGUCAGCUGCGUAGACUAAACAG